AGCAGUGGGGAAUAUUGGACAAUGGGCUCACGCCCGAUCCAGCAAUAUCGCGUGGGUGAAGAAGGGCACUGUCGCUUGUCAAGCUCUUCCGUCGAGUUUCGAUCAUGACAGGACUCGAGGAAGAAGCCCCGGCUAACUCCGUGCCAGCAGCCGCGGUAAUACGGGGGGGGCAAGUGUUAUUCGGAAUGACUGGGCGUAAAGGGCACGUAGGCGGUGAAAAGGGUGGAAAGUGAAAGUCGCCAAAACACUGGCGGGGUGCUUUCUUGACCAUUUCACUUGAGUGAGAUAGGGGAGAGUGGAAUUUCGUGUGGAGGGAUCAAAUCCUAAGAUAUACGAAGGACGCCAACCGCGAAGGCAGCUCUCUGGGUCCCCACUGACGCUGGGG
rnacentral:rRNA from 1 species